UACAGGGGGGGCAAGCGUUGUUCGGAAUUACUGGGCGUAAAGGGCCAGUAGGCGGCCAACUAAGUCCGACGUGAAAUCCCCAAGCUUAACUUGGGAACUGCGUCGGAUACUGGAUGGCUUGAAUUCGGGAGAGGGAUGCAGAAUUCCAGGUGUAGCGGUGAAAUGCGUAGAUAUCUGGAGGAACACCGGUGGCGAAGGCGGCAUCCUGGACCGAUACUGACGCUGAGGAGCGAAAGCCAGGGGAGCAAACGGG
rnacentral:rRNA from 1 species